AAUUACGUCAAUUGCGCGCGUCUUGUGUGUUAUCAGUGUUCACAGUUCAGUAAAGUUGUGUCUGUCGCUGUAGUCAACCCCCUUUCCCACCUAAACGUACACUCACACGAACAACCAAUAACAACAGCUGCUGCAGUAGGCACUGACUGUUUAGCCGUAGCCAGUUUUAAUGUCAGCGCCCUAGCGAAAUGCAAACAUCGACGCCGUCGAGCACUGAG